rnacentral:rRNA from 1 species
CUCGAGUGGCGAACGGGUGAGUAACACGUGAGUAACCUGCCCUUCACUCUGGGAUAACUCCGGGAAACCGGUGCUAAUACUGGAUAGGACUCCUGCCUGCAUGGGUGGGGGUGGAAAGAUUUAUCGGUGGAGGAUGGACUCGCGGCCUAUCAGCUUGUUGGUGGGGUAAUGGCCUACCAAGGCGACGACGGGUAGCCGGCCUGAGAGGGUGACCGGCCACACUGGGACUGAGACACGGCCCAG